rnacentral:rRNA from 1 species
CGGCCCAGACUCCUACGGGAGGCAGCAGUGGGAAUAUUGCACAAUGGGCGAAAGCCUGAUGCAGCAACGCCGCGUGAGGGAUGACGGCCUUCGGGUUGUAAACCUCUUUUAGCAGGAAGAAGCGAGAGUGACGGUACCUGCAGAAAAAGCGCCGGCUAACUACGUGCCAGCAGCCGCGGUAAUACGUAGGGCGCAAGCGUUAUCCGGAAUUAUUGGGCGUAAAGAGCUCGUAGGCGGUUUGUCGCGUCUGCUGUGAAAUCCCGAGGCUCAACCUCGGGCCUGCAGUGGGUACGGGCAGACUAGAGUGCGGUAGGGGAGAUUGGAAUUCCUGGUGUAGCGGUGGAAUGCGCAGAUAUCAGGAGGAACACCGAUGGCGAAGGCAGAUCUCUGGGCCGUAACUGACGCUGAGGAGCGAAAGGGUGGGGAGCAAACAGGCUUAGAUACCCUGGUAGUCCACCCCGUAAACGUUGGGAACUAGUUGUGGGGUCCAUUCCACGGAUUCCGUGACGCAGCUAACGCAUUAAGUUCCCCGCCUGGGGAGUACGGCCGCAAGGCUAAAACUCAAAGGAAUUGACGGGGACCCGCACAAGCGGCGGAGCAUGCGGAUUAAUUCGAUGCAACGCGAAGAACCUUACCAAGGCUUGACAUAUACGGGAACACUCUGGAAACAGAGGACUCUUUGGACACUCGUAUACAGGUGGUGCAUGGUUGUCGUCAGCUCGUGUCGUGAGAUGUUGGGUUAAGUCCCGCAACGAGCGCAACCCUCGUUCUAUGUUGCCAGCACGUUAUGGUGGGAACUCAUGGGAUACCGCCGGGGUCAACUCGGAGGAAGGUGGGGAUGACGUCAAAUCAUCAUGCCCCUUAUGUCUUGGGCUUCACGCAUGCUACAAUGGCCGGUACAAAGGGCUGCAAUACCGUGAGGUGGAGCGAAUCCCAAAAAGCCGGUCCCAGUUCGGAUUGAGGUCUGCAACUCGACCUCAUGAAGUCGGAGUCGCUAGUAAUCGCAGAUCAGCAACGCUGCGGUGAAUACGUUCCCGGGUCUUGUACACACCGCCCGUCAAGUCAUGAAAGUCGGUAACACCUGAAGCCG